CCUGAUGCAGCAACGCCGCGUGAGUGAAGAAGGCAUUCUGUCGUAAAACUCUGUAGUAGGGGAAGAAAGAAAUGACAGUACCCUAAAAGAAAGCCCCGGCUAACUACGUGCCAGCAGCCGCGGUAAUACGUAGGGGGCAAGCGUUAUCCGGAAUAACUGGGCGUAAAGGGUGCGCAGGUGGUUUAACAAGUUAGUGGUGAAAGGCAUAGGCUCAACCAAUGUAAGCCAUUAAAACUGUUUAACUUGAGUGCGGGAGAGGAAAGUGGAAUUCCUAGUGUAGCGGUGAAAUGCGUAGAUAUUAGGAGGAAUACCAGUGGCGAAGGCGACUUUCUGGACUGCAACUGACACUGAGGCACGGAAGCGUGGGGAGCAAACAGGAUUAGAUACCCUGGUAGUCCACGCCGUAAACGAUGAGUACUAGGUGUCGGGUGAAGAACUCGGUGCCGAAGUUAACACAUUAAGUACUCCGCCUGGGGAGUACGCUCGCAAGAGUAAAACUCAAAGGAAUUGACGGGGACCCGCACAAGCAGCGGAGCAUGUGGUUUAAUUCGAAGCAACGCGAAGAACCUUACCUAACUGACAUACCA
rnacentral:rRNA from 1 species